rnacentral:rRNA from 1 species
AUUGAACGCUGGCGGCAGGCCUAACACAUGCAAGUCGAGCGAGCGGCGGACGGGUGAGUAAUAUCUGUGAAACUGCCUGAUGGAGGGGGAUAACUCCUGGAAACGCUAGCUAAUACACCACACACACAGAUGUGCCCACAUGGGAUUAGCUGGUAGGUGGGGUAACGGCUGACCUAGGCGACGCUCCCUAGCUGGUCUGAGAGGAUGACCAGCCACACUGGAACUGAGACACGGUCCAGACUCCUACGGGAGGCAGCAGUGGGGAAUAUUGCACAAUGGGCGCAAGCCUGAUGCAGCCAUGCCGCGUGUAUGAAGAAGGCCUUCGGGUUGUAAAGCACUUUCAGCGUGGAGGCGUUACCCGCAGAAGAAGCACCGGCUAACUCCGUGCCAGCAGCCGCGGUAAUAC